UACGGAGGGUGCGAGCGUUAAUCGGAAUUACUGGGCGUAAAGCGCACGUAGGCGGUUCGUUAAGUCGGAUGUGAAAGCCCUGGGCUCAACCUGGGAACUGCAUUCGAUACUGUCGAGCUAGAGUGUGGGAGAGGGUGGUGGAAUUCCCGGUGUAGCGGUGAAAUUCGUAGAUAUUGGGAAGAACACCAGUGGCGAAGGCGGCUCUCUGGUCCGAUACUGACGCUGAGGUGCGAAAGCGUGGGGAGCAAACAGGAUUAGAUACCCGGGUAGU
rnacentral:rRNA from 1 species